GAUGAUUUUAUAAAGCAGCCAUAAUAAUAUUGUACAUGCUGAAUGUUGGAUCUGAUUAUUGCUACAUUGCUAUUCAACACUAAAGGAACCUGAAGAACUCCUUCACUUCCUUUCUGUGCUGAAAUCUGAGGAAGAUGUGUCAGAAUGUGGUUUUGUUAAAACAAGGAGUCUGGUGUCUAAGUUAAAGUAAUAUGGAAAUCAGUCUGUGUCACGUGUCAGAAUCUUUCCAGGAUUAAAAGGACAGGUGAAGUAACAGAUCAGAUUUGCGAGAGCUGUGUGCAAGCAGUGAAGAUCUAAAACAGAGCUACUUAAGACACAGCAGCCUUCAGAUUUUUAUAUUAAAGAAUUACUGCAGGGUGACCUACACUGACCUGGCAAAAGUCGUAAGUGAUAGUGAUUGGCUAAGAUUUAAGAACGAAGCAGCAAACAAACAUCUGACAGCAAAUGCUUUGGUCGGAUUGUACAAUGAUAUCAAUAGCUGGCGCUGGUCCUUAAACGAUUGACUGGGACUGUGGUCUCCUGGGUCUUUAAAAUGCAUGGUGGGAUGUACCAUGCACAAGACUAAGACCCUUCAUCUGCUACAAUGAGACAGGUGCUGAUUGAGAGGUUCCCAUCCCUUCAAACCUACCAUGGUAUCCUGGACAACCUGAUAAUUAUGCAAGAUAUGAGAACUGUGCCAUAGUUUAUAACGGACUGUUCAUUGAUGAGCUCUGCACCAACCUGUACUACUCAUUCCAUUACCAUCAUGAGGAGUCAGACAGUGAGACUGCAGGUGAAGUCUGAUGGUAGUGUGUUAGAUCCUGCUGUGCAGUCGUCCAUUUUAGAGCAGCUGAAGCAGAAACUGAAAAAAAGGCAUGUUGGAGAACACUACAGUGACCUGGAGGGUGCAGCCAGAUGGAAACAUCUUCCACAAGAUAAAUGAUGACCUGUAACAUCUAAAUACUCACCUUCAAGUCAAGCAGGUUUAUUUAACCUACAAUGUUUAAGCUUUAAUCAGUAGGGGGCAUCAGAGGACAAGAUUAACCAGAAGAAGUUGAACACACACAUACAUGUUUGUAACACACCCACUUUGACUUUGUCACCUUAAAUUUAAUACCAAUUUCAAUGUUUUAUCAAAUAAUUAAUAUUUAAUACAUUUAGCUUUUGCUGCAAGUGGCCACUGGACACAGUAAUAAGGAGAAAGUCAAAGAGGGUCUGUUCAAUUACUGGGUUUAAUACAUCAGUGUGUCGUAGUAAAGAAUAAUUCUUAGACUGAAGACAGAGAAUGUAACAGAACCUGUACAUAUACUAUGUGUACUUUGAACAGUCAGAUAUAAUGAGCUUUCCACUAUUAUUGUCAUUUUCUUCUUUUUUCUAAUUAGAAAUAUUUACUUAUUUCAUGUAAUUUAUUAUAGUUUUCUGUACU